UAUGCCCAUGACCUACCGGUGUAUAUCACCACUUGUCGUUUGUUGGCAAGGCUAUCUUUGCGAGUGAGUAAAACAAAGCCCUGACCCAAGGCACAAAACAAACCGGACCAUUGCACGACGGUAUUCACCAUAUUUUAUGGCCAAAUAGCGCUGCUAAAUCGCAUUAGCUGACUCUAAACCUGACAGCUGUGCUUUGCAGGCUAGCCAGGUAGCACAACAUACUAGCCAAACAACUUCACCAGUGUCAUUAUUGCCAAGACCGUUUGUAUGAACAAUCAACAGCAGGAACAUGCCUCCAAUGAACUACUGAUAGAGUUGUCCUUUCCAAGACACAAGUGCAACAAUUUCGUGUCGGCUGCACUGAUCAAGUCGCCUGUACCGCUGCCAUGAGUACCAACGCUGAGAGAAAGUUUGUUAAUCUAAGAAAACGGCUAGAUCAACUUGGAUAUAGGCAGCCGCUUGGAAUAGAUACCCUGCCGCUUGUUGAGAAACUUUUCAGUGACCUGGUACACACCACCGAGAGUCUUCGCAAUGCCAAGCUGUCGGCUGGCAAGACGGAGAAGGAGAGCCGAAAUCUGGACGCUCUCCUGGAGCCCUACAAGACGGAAAAUGCUCGCCUGGUGAGGGAGAACAAUGAGCUGCACCUGGGGCUGCUGAAACUCCGAGAGGACAAGGAGAGACUCAGCAGGGAGCUGAAGGCCUACAUACGGAAGCUGGACCACGAGACGUCCGACCUGAAGUUCCUCAACAACCAGUACGUGCACAAGGUGCGCUCCCUGGAGAAGGAGAACAUGGCCAAGACGGAGCGCAUCCAGCAACUGCAGGAAAAGAACAUGCAGGCCGUGGUGCAGACGCCAGGAGGAAAGAAGCGUAACAUUCCUUUCAGACGACAGAGGAUGCAGAUCGACGACCUGCUGCCGGCAUCGCUCGGUCCCACUCCCGCGGUGGUGGCACAGCCCGACGACCCGUACAUCGCUGACCUGCUGCAGGUGGCUGACGACCGGAUCCAGGAGCUGCAGCAGGAGGCCACCAAGCUCCAGGUGGACCUGGAGAGAGCGCAAGCCGGGAUCAAGCACCUCAACACUCAGGUGGAGGAGCGCGACAAAGAGAUUGAGCGUCUGAAUCGCGCCCUAGACGGGGGCCGUCCUUACGAUGUCAUCUCGCUGGAGGCGCAGAACGUCAGCAACGAGAAGCUCAUUGCGCACCUCAACCUGCAGAUAGAGUACCUGCAGGAGACCAACCGCACCCUGGAGCAGAAGGUGCAGGGCCUGCACCAGAGGAAGGCGGACGUGAGUGCGGAGGCGGCCAACCUGAGCGUCCGCAACCAGGAGCUGUGCCAGGAGCUGACCCAGAUAGAUCAGCUGGCCCAGCAGCUGGAGAAGGACAAGGAGCUGGUCCUGGAGACCGCCGACACGGAGCUGCAGGAGGCUAAGGAUGAAAUCCAGAGGCAGCAGGGAGCGAUUGUGGACCUGGAGAACAUGGUCUCCAAGCUGAAGAGGGAGCUGCAGGAGGGCGAGCACGAUAAAGACCGUGUGCGGGACCAGCUGGCCGACGCCAGGGAGCAGAGCGACAAGAUGGAGGGCCUGCUGAACUUCCUGGAGGAGGAGAAGAGGAGGCUCCAGGACAAACUGGACAAGAUGACCCUCGCCGAGAAGGAGAUGGUGCUGGAGCUGGAGCGGAUGCGUUUGCGCUAUGGCAUCUGUGGCAAGGAGCGCUCGCCCUCGCGCCUGGACGCCUUCGUCAAGAGCCUGGAGGAGGAGAGGGACUACUACAGGCAGGAAGCCCAGCGCUACCGUAAGACCCGCAGGGGAGGAAGUGGAGGAGGAGGGAGAGGAGCCAGCCGCAGCCCCUCCCUUAGCCCAGCCAGGGGCAGGAGUCCCCGAGCCAGAGGGGGUUGGCACGGACGGGGUGGCAAUGGCGAUGUGGACAUCUCUUUGGUGAUGAGGGAGAGAGAUGACCUGCAGGCCGCCCUGCUGGGCUUCGAGAGGCAGAUGGAAGAGAUCCAGAGUAAGGUCAAAGCCCUGACUGCGGAGAGGGACAGCCUCAGCACACUCUACCAACAGGUUCAGGAGGAGUUGCGGCAUGCGCGGCGGGAGUCUGGCAUGUCUCCUCUGCGUCAGCUACGGGAGGAGAGGGAACAAGCCGAGGCGGAGCUGGAGAGGGUCACCUGCGAGAGAGAUGCACUGCGGGAGAGACUCAAGGUUCAGGAGGAGUUGAGGCAAGCGCGGGGGGACUCUGGCCUAUCCCCUGAGCGGCAUCAGAGGGACCAGGCCGAGGCCGAGCUGGAGAGGGUCUCCUGCGAGAGAGACGCGCUCCGGGAGAGACUCAAGGUUGCCCAGACGACUGCUUUGACGGACAGGGGCCAGGAGGAGAUGAGGAUACUUGACCUGGAGAACACCAUACAGACGCUGGAGCGUGAGCGGUCAGAGCUGCGUGUGCAGGUGAGCAUGCUGAAGCAGAGGGCGGAGACCGUGGAGGCAGAGCUGAGCACUCGCACCUCAGCCAUGGUGCAGAGCGUGGAGGAGACCGCCCAGCACAGGGCCGAGAGCGGGGCACUCAGGCUGCUGCAGGAGCAGAUGGAGCAGUCCCUGUCUGACGUGCAGCACCGACUGACCGUGAAGACCAGUGAACUGCAGGCCGCCCAGCAGAAGAUCCAGAGGCUGGAGGAGACAAUCAGUGAUGUGAGGCAGCGGGGCUCGUCUCAGAAGGAUGAGGUGAGCGUGCUGCAGACGGCGCUGGCGGCUCUGGACCGGGAGAAGGACGCACUGCAGGACACUGUGGACCAGAAGGCCGAGGCCAUGGCCCUGCUGCAGGACGAACUGCACAGCAGGGAGAAGACCCUGAAAGAAGUCAAGCUCACUGUUACAGAUAUGGAAAAUUCAUUAGAUCAGCUGAAGGGGGCGCUAAGUAGCCGUGAGCGAGAGAUCUCCAGCCUGCGCAGGCAGCUGGACUCCAGUCAGGAGGAGCUGGCAGCUGUUGGCCGCGACCGGGAGAUGGCUCUCAGGGAGAACAGGAGACUGCAGGACGACCUGGCCACUAUGACCAGGGAGAACCAGGCGGUGCACUCUGAGAUGGACGAGGCCUUCCAUGACAAGGAGGAGUUGAAGAUGCGUGUGCAGUCCUACAUCUCUGAGGUGGCUCGCAUUGAGAACCUCAUGGCUGCUAAGGAGCUGGAGAGUCGUGAGAUGCUGGAGCGUUUCCGCAUGGCGCACUCGCAGGCGGAGGAGCGUGAGGUGCAGCUGCAGCAGGCCGAGGGCAUGACCAACUCCAUCCGGCUGGAGCUGCUGUCCUCCGACACCGAGCGCAGACACCUCCGCGAACGCCUGGGCCACCAGGACAAGGAGAUACAGGAGCACAUCAGUGCUCUGCAGGCGUACGAGGCGCAGGUGUCGUCUCUGGCGCGGAGCAUGUCUCGUCUGGAGGAGGACCUGCAGGCAGCGCGUGCUGAGAAGGCCUCAGUGCUGGCCGACCUGGCGGCCGUCAGGGAGCUCUGUGUCAAGCUGGACUCUGGCAAGGAGCUCACCGCCCGCCAGCUCACUGCGAAGAGCAUGGACCUGGAGAGGGUGCUGGGGGAGCUGGAGGACGUGCGCUCGGAGGCGGAGCUCCUGAAGAAGCAGCUGGCCAGCGAGCGCCUAACGGUACGCAACCUGGAGACGCUGCUGUCCACCAACCGCCAGAAGGAGUUCCAGACGCACCUCAGCAGCAGCGAGCGCGAGACCGAGCUCAAGCUGCUCAAGGACCGCCUGGCCCUCGCCGACAGCAAAACUGCGGGUCAUGCCAGGGAGGUGUCUCAGCUGCGAGGGAAAGUGUCCCAGCUACAGACUGAGAUGGACGUUCUGAAGAGACAACUGACCACCGAGCGGUUCGAGAGGGAGAGAGCGGUCCAGGAGAUGCGCAGACAAGGCGUGUCCUUCUCCUCUCUGAGAAGCCCCUCCCCUCUCAGCACCUCGCAGAGCCCGCGGCCCUCCUCGGCUGAACACUCCAUCUUCCGCACGCCUGACCGCACCACCGACAAAUCCCCAGAGAAAGCGUGAAGUCAGAUUUUUACAGAGGUGUUGGAUUGUUCAACUAAAGCUCACACAGCAAACAUGAGUGGCAACAAUCUUCCUAUUGCAACAUAAGUGUGAGCUUCAAAGAAUGAGCAUCCACUGCCAAACCUUCAAGAAAUGAGGGAGAGUGGGGAAGUUAAAUUUAUACUUGAAUGUGAAGCGAGGAGCCAGGCCAAAGGCUCCUUUUGCCAAGCCACUAUCGCUCACCCAGAAAUGUGCGGCAAACCAAAACCCACUCCUGGGUUGCAGAUCAUUUCCACAAAAGUCAAAGCCUCUCCUUCCUCCUGUCCUUCGAAACCCAUGGCUUGUUCUCGACCUGCAUCAAGUCAGUUUAAUAUUGGACAUUCAUUUCACAUUCAAAAUACAUGCAGUACGUGACUGAUGUGAAGUCAGCAUGCCUUGCUGUCAAACCAGCUUUGAGACGUGGAUGACUGUCCUCUUGUGCCACAAGGCUAUUUGUAUUAUUUGUGUGUAUUUUGAAUUUUAAAUGAAUGUCCAAUAUAGAAUCAGGUCAUCCAGGUCUACAGCAAAGCAGAAGGUUGAAGGACAGAGGAUAGGACAGCAGUUUGGAGAAAUGAUUUUGACCCCAGGGCUGGUGGGGGUAGGGGUGGCCUCUUCUCUGGCACUACUAGACCCACAGUUUGGCUCUGUGGGAUGUGCCAACACGGUCUCACGCCAACGUGUCAUUAUAUGUCAGGAUACGGCACUUUGAACAGACCCCUCAAUAUGUAACACCAAAGGUAGGCAUUGGCUUUGUGUCGCAUAGUGACACUAAAGACAAAGGUACCCCCGUGAUUCUAAAGGGUUUCACUGACUGCGUCCAAUCAUGCUGUUGUGCCUACUGGAGCCAGGCCUCUUUUGCACAUGGAUCUGGAAUUAUGUGUGUUGCUUGAAACGUUUUGUGACAUUAAUUAUUACAUGUGAAUAUGUAUAUGUUUUUAUGUUUUUUAUCAUAAAAUGUAUAUAUUUGAUAAGACUCACUUGUUUUGAAAAUGUCUAAAAUGACCUGAUCCAAAUGUUUUUUGGCUUUAUUUACAUGGUUAACAAUGUAAUGUUGGGAUUCCAUCGCACAGAUCACUACUGAAGGAUUGCCCUGUGGAUAUUUUUUUUUAAACUUUUAAUAAGAUAUGAAGUGGUUUGUUGACUUUUCUGUGUUAAAUUAUUCUUCCUAAAUAAAAAGACAGUUUCCAGUCA